rnacentral:rRNA from 1 species
UGGGGAAUAUUGGACAAUGGGCGCAAGCCUGAUCCAGCAAUGCCGCGUGUGUGAAGAAGGCCUGCGGGUUGUAAAGCACUUUCGGUGGGGAGAAAGAUCUCUGUACUAAUACUAUAGAGGGAUGAUGUUACCCACAGAAGAAGCACCGGCUAACUCUGUGCCAGCAGCCGCGGUAAUACAGAGGGUGCGAGCGUUAAUCGGAAUUACUGGGCGUAAAGGGUGCGUAGGUGGUUAUGUAAGUUAGGUGUGAAAUUCCCGGGCUUAACCUGGGGACUGCGCCUGAUACUGCAUGGCUAGAGUACUGUAGAGGAAAGUGGAAUUUCCGGUGUAGCGGUGAAAUGCGUAGAUAUCGGAAGGAACAUCGGUGGCGAAGGCGACUUUCUGGACAGAUACUGACACUGAGGCACGAAAGCAUGGGGAGCAAACAGGAUUAGAUACCCGCGUAGUCC